rnacentral:rRNA from 1 species
GAGUACACGUAAGCAACCUACCCUAAAGACGAGGAUAACCAUUGGAAACAGUGGCUAAGACUGGAUAGGAAGAUAAAAGGCAUCUUGUAUCUUUUAAAAGACCUAGUUAAUAGGUAUGCUUUAGGAGGGGCUUGCGCCAUAUUAGUUAGUUGGUAGGGUAAUGGCCUACCAAGACGAUGAUGUGUAGCUGGACUGAGAGGUUGAACAGCCACAUUGGGACUGAGACACGGCCCAAACUCCUACGGGAGGCAGCAGUAGGGAAUUUUCGGCAAUGGAGGAAACUCUGACCGAGCAACGCCGCGUGAAUGACGAAGUACUUCGGUAUGUAAAGUUCUUUUAUCGAGGAAGAAAAGCAAAUGGCGAACCAUUUGUUUGCCGGUACUUGAUGAAUAAGCCCCGGCUAAUUAUGUGCCAGCAGCCGCGGUAAGACAUAAGGGGCAAGUGUUAUCCGGAAUUAUUGGGCGUAAAGGGUGCGUAGGCGGUCUAGUAAGUCAGUGGUGUAAUGGCAACGCUUAACGUUGUCCGGCUAUUGAAACUGCUAAACUUGAGUUAGAUAGAGGCGAGUGGAAUUCCAUGUGUAGCGGUAAAAUGCGUAAAUAUAUGGAGGAACACCAGAGGCGUAGGCGGCUCGCUGGGUCUUAACUGACGCUGAGGCACGAAAGCGUGGGGAGCAAACAGGAUUAGAUACCCUGGUAGUCCACGCCGUAAACGAUGAGUACUAAGUGUCGGGUUAAACCGGUACUGAAGUUAACACAUUAAGUACUCCGCCUGAGUAGUACGUACGCAAGUAUGAAACUUAAAGGAAUUGACGGGACUCCGCACAAGCGGUGGAUCAUGUUGUUUAAUUCGAAGAUACCCGAAAAACCUUACCAGGUCUUGACAUGUUUUUGCAAAAUGAUAGUAAUAUCGUGGAGGUUACCAGAAACACAGGUGGUGCAUGGUUGUCGUCAGCUCGUGUCGUGAGAUGUUAGGUUAAGUCCUAAAACGAGCGAAACCCUUAUCGUUAGUUGCCAGCACGUUAUGGUGGGGACUUUAACGAGACUGCCAAUGAUAAAUUGGAGGAAGGUGAGGAUCACGUCAAAUCAGCAUGCCCCUUAUGACCUGGGCUACAAACGUGAUACAAUGGCUGUUACAAAGGGUAGCUGAAACGCAAGUUCUUGGCCAAUCCCCAAAAACAGUCCCAGUCCGGAUUGAAGUCUGCAACUCGACUUCAUGAAGUUGGAAUCGCUAGUAAUCGCGAAUCAGCAUGUCGCGGUGAAUACGUUCUCGGGGUUUGUACACACCGCCCGUCAAACCACGAAAGUUGGCAAUACCCCAAAACGGUAGCCUAACUCG